UUUUUUUUUUUUUUUUUUGGCUAAGAUUUGAAUUGAUUGAGCAAUAUAGGUGUUUAGGGAACUUGAUUGGUACAGACUGCUCUUAGACAAUAAAAAGAAUUUUUUAUUUGAAGGUUAUGGGUGGGUUGGAAUUAGGCAUAGUAACGGCUAGACUGGAGGGAUAAGGUUAUGGGAUUAGGGAAUUGAACCAGUAUAUGUUAGGUCUGGCUUUCUGGCAAAUAAGAUAUAAAUAUGCACGAAAUAUGAAAAUUGAAAGUAUAAUCCUUGGUGGUUAUGCCUGGGUUUUCUAGACAGGCAAAGUGAAUGAAUCGUCUUAAAGAGCUUCAAAGGCCGCCUGGAAUUUUCUAUAAUAAUUUUGUUAAAAUCCUUUUGUUUUAUAUAAAAUAUUCAGACUUUCUACAUUAUUCUUCAAAGUUUUGGAAGAAAUGUUGUAGGCUCCUGGCACUCGUGGUUCCGAAUUAGUAUAGUAUUUCCUUUUGGGACUAAAAGACUUCAGAAAAGGAAUAUGUUUAAGUGAACAAGAGUGGCAGAUGCUGGAAAAUGUAGAAAUAAUCAUAAAAUAAAGGAGAAAGUUAGAUGAACAAGUUUAAAACUACUUGAAUCGCUCUAGGAGCUAGAAUCACUCUUAUUUGUGAAACAAGGCCUUGUAGCCUCUAGAUUUGUGAAUUAGUCACAAGAAGUAGAUUUUUCUGUAAAUACUAUUCAACAAACCACAGACUUACAUGCUUUAUAUGGAUGUGUAACCAUGACUUUAUUCUGCCACACAUUACUUGAAGUCAUAAGUUUUAUUUGAACCUCUUAUUUUAGUCUCCCAAUGACUUCUAGUAUUCACAAGCAUGAACAUAAUUAAAUUUCCUGGCACUCUUAGACUUAAUUUAAGAAUCUGGACCUCUAGACUUCUUGUGACUCUUCAACAUUAUGUUUUUGCUGAAAAAAAAAAUCAGCAAAAUUAUUCUGUGCCAUACUAGGGCCUGCUGCAACUUGAUCCCACCAAUUUACAGUACUGGGCUGAGGAAUAAGUUUCUUCUUUGUUUGCUUAUACACUUUCAAAGGGGUUCUCCCUGGCUCGACAAAAUUUGGAUCUGGCGAGUCAAGACUUUGGUGUUCCUCAUAGAAAUCUGAGUUAAGCUGUUGCUUCUCUGAUUAUGCGUUCCAAGUACAAGCUUAAGGUGGUCACUGUCUCCAUUUGACUAAGAACUCUUUCUAUCCUCCAUUCCUGGUAGAAACAAUCUGAUUAUGGGAGAUGUUCUCUACAUCAUCAUGAUCUCUAGAUGCUGUCGAAUAUUGUAUAGUUGCCUCAUCAUACAAUGUCCUUCGCUUCAGACAUCGUGAAAAUGGGGCUAGAAAAUUGACUGUAAGUUGAUUUCGUUUGAUGGUAUGAAUUCAGUUGGAACACUAUCCUGAGAGUAUGUUCAAGACACUGCGAACAAGGCAUACAGAUCCUUAUAAACUCAAGAAUGACUACUGCUAACACAUAUUUUGGAGCUACCAUAAGAUAUGAGACUUAGGCCCAUUUUCAAUAUUAAAGAUAUAACGAAAUUUUCUAGAAAGCAUGUAUGCUCUCUGGAGACUAGUUCUCAUGGUCAAACCUCAUAUAGAGCAUAUAAGUCUGCCAUCCUUGUUCUAAACUAGUACAUAUAUUCCUAACUUCUACUCUAGUGAUUCUUAUGUUUUGGUUAUUUCUACACUUUCUACCAUCUGCCACUCAUACUUCUCACCUGAACGAAUUCAUCUAAUCCUUCCCUUGCUCUUCUACAUCAAAACUACCAAAGACCACACACAAGGUUCUAAUAACGCAGCCAAACCAAUAAUGAUAUUUGCAUGGCAUAAUUUUACAGCUCAUCUCCUGAACUUUCUAGUAAGUAUUACAUACUGACUCCAAAAACAAGCAAAAAGCAUGGGUACAACUAAAUAUCUGGUAGUGUGGUUAUAUCCUUCGGGUAGUACUUAGACUAGAAUUGCUCUAAGAACUAUUUGCCUUCAGUUGAUCCAUGUUGGUUUUAUACUAUAUUUCCAUAGGUUACGUGCAUGGGGCCAACCUUUUCUAGCAUUUCAUCCUGGUUUAUUGAGAGAAACCUUGGCAUAUCAUGGUUGCGCUGAACUUUUUCAGGUACGAUGUUUAAGCCUGUCUAUCUUUUAUAUUUGUGAGCAAAUAAAAAAAUUGUUGAUCCACAUGCUAAUAGCUUAAUAUUUCGGGAAUACUGGUAAAUAAACUUUAUCAUGGUAUCAGAGCAGGAGUUCAAAUCCCUGCAAUUGCAACCUUUUCCACAUGUUGGCCUUUAGUGAUUAAAAGAGGCCCACAUGUGAGGGGGUUUUCCAACUUAAACAUAAUCAUUGUCCCAUGUCCUACCAGCUUAAGCUGUCGGGUAUAAAACUUUCCAUAUUUCUGCCUCUGAAGUCGAAGUUAGUGGUAAACAAAUUGUUGUAUUUUGUUCCUUGGUUAGAUUUAAUUCCAAUAUAAAUUCUGUUUCAGAGCCCUCUACCCCUCCCUGCGGGUAAAAGUGAUUCCACCUUAAAAUAACUCCGAAAUCUAUACAGCUUAUUCAUUCACUUUCAUGGUUAUCAAAGUUAUCAUGUUAACUUGGUAAAUUUGUGUAGGAUGUUCACACUGAACUCAUACAAUAUCGAAGGGCACAAAUGAUUAAACGGGGCAUUGUUCAUGAGGAACUAAGCAUAGACUCACACUUGCGUAGAGAAAAUGGCUCAUGCCCUCUGAUGCCUGAAGAGGUAAGCUCAGUUCUAACUUUCAUAUCCAGUGUAUGUUUAGUAAGCACUGUUGUUUUGUGUAGUGGCGUUUCCUUCCCCUGGUUUUUCCUGAUUUAAAUUUUUUUUUUUUACAGUGCCAUAGGAAUUCUUACAUAUUAGUAGUGAACUUCUUUGCUGAUUGUGAUUUUAAGUUUCUAGGCACUAAUUCGGAAUUGAUUUCAGGAGUUCCGCAAAAGCAGAACCUCAAGCAUCCUUUCAUCAAUUCCACCCUUAAUUUUAAAUACUAAUAUCUGGAGUGAAUUGUAUUUCCAAAAAGUUCUGCGUUAUAUGUUUGAUGAGUAGAGAAUGCAGGCCAAAAAACAAAAAUAGAGGAUGGAAUGACUUUAGCACUAGUUAAUCGAACCCUAUCUUAUUAAAAAAAAAAAAAAAAAAAAACUGAUUUUAAUAUUUUUACUUGAAAAAUUUUAUUUUCGAAGGGGAAAAUGAUGGAAUAGACAAUGAAGAAGAAUUAGAAAUGAUCCUUUUUAAAGAUAUCCACUUCAAAUGUGGAUUUUGGUCACUGUGAUUCCUAAAUUACCUAGUUGGCUGGCCCUAAUUGAGUCAUCACCUUCACAGAAUGCUUUUUUUAAAAUAAAUAAAAAAAGAAAAAAAGGUGUGGGGAAGAAUUACAACUAGAGUUCGGGUUUGCUAAUGAAAUGCACUGUCUUCUUUCUACAUUGUAAAUAGUACUGAAAACAAACAAGGGUGUUCAUAAAUAAAAUGGCCGACUUGAAAACAGCCUUGUAUAUUUUCCUUUGUAUAAUUGUGAAAGCAACCUCAAGCCUAUAUCUCUUGCCUUGAUUAAUAGAGAAGCCCAACUCCAUACAUCUGAGAGCAAGCUCGUUACAAGGAAGCAUAGAAUAAAUUUGAUAUAUAUAUAUAUAUAUAGAUAUAUUUAAAUAUUACAAUUUUGUAUACACGCUAUAUAAUGUGAUCUUUUAUUUGCUAAAGGUGCAUCAAUGAAUCAUCUUAUGACUUAUAAAGUGCAAGUAAGGACUUAUUAAUUGAUAAAUCAGCCUACUUAGUUAACUUGACUAAAUCUACAUUUGAUGUCACUUAUGUGUAAAGAAUAAAGAAUGAUUCUUUUAGGUGUAUGAGGAGGUAUUUACUUAUUACUAUUAGAAACUGAAACAAAUAGGGAAAGAAAGAAAAGCUCCCUCUGAAAUAUGCAUGAACCAAGUUUCAAGGUAAAGUUUCUGCUGGUGCAUUAGCUCAUUUAUUCUUAUUGGAACUUUCACAGGUUGGAAUUCUUCUUCGUGCAAUGGGGUAUCCUCCUAAAACAAUUGUAUAUCUGGCUGGUUCUGAAACGUUUGGGGGUCAACGUGUUCUGGUCCCCUUGCGUGCCAUGUUUCCCAACUUAGUGGAUCGCACUUCUUUGUGCAGCAAUAAAGAAUUGUUGGAUAUACUUGGACCUGAAACACCUCUUCCUCUAAAUCCUUUUCAACCACCUCCAGCAAAAAGUGAGGCACAACUUAAGGAAGAAUGGAAGAAGGCUGGUCCUAGGCCUCGGCCUCUUCCUCCACCUCCUGGUAGACCUAUCUAUCAACAUGAAAAAGAAGGCUGGUAUGGUUGGAUUACUGAGACUGCCACUGAACCAGACCUUUCAGCUGUGGAUCUAAGGAUGCAAGCACAUAGACUAAUUUGGGAUGCUCUUGACUAUAUUGUCUCCGUGGAAGCAGACACAUUCUUUCCUGGCUUUAAUAAUGAUGGCAGUGGAUGGCCAGAUUUUUCAAGCUUGGUUAUGGGACACCGUUUGUAUGAGACUGCUUCUUCUAGAACAUACCGACCAGACAGGUAUGAUUAGAUGGACUUGAAAGUAAUUUCAUGAAGUGUGAAUGACCCAUUAAAAUUGAUUUAGUCAAUGUUUCAAAUGGCAUAUGAAGGAUUUUGGGUUAAUUUAGCUUAAUUUAUUCUACAAUGCCCCAAGUUCAUUUGAAUCCUAAAAGGCCACUGGUGGGUGGGUUUGAGUUGGUGGAGAAGGGAAAGAAUGGUUUGAUUGUGAUUGGUUAAUAGUAUACUUCUAUUCGUACAUUUCAAGAAUUUACUUCAUUAUUUAGUUUUUUGAUAGGUAAUUGUGAGUAUUUAUUGAAAGUUGUUGGUUUGCAUACAUCGUUUUGGACCUCUUGUUUUUGUCUUUUUUUGUUUUUUUUUAAAAAGGAUAAAGGUGAACACAAAAUGUUUUUUCCUUUGCAAUAUCAUGUACUACAUGGGGCAUAUCUGGAUGCUCAAUUGUGUGUAUAUUCACGCACACACAGAUGGACAUAUAUUUGUCGGGGUGCGGGUCUGGGAAAUACAUGCGACCUCAUUAAAGCAAUAUAUUGAAAUAUACGUGUUCGCUUCCGCUUUGAAGUGCUAUAUUAACUUUCUACUUUCUUGAAUAGUUAGCUGAUUCUCUUGAAUAAAAUAAUAGUUUUCAGAGAGCCUGUGCUGAUGUUUAACCAUUUCCAUAAGAUUAUUGGUUGCAAAAGGUUAAAAAUUGUCUGCUUUUUACUUCUAGGAAGAGCUCUUGUUUAACAAAUAAUUCUUGUUUGUAUGUAAUAGAAAAAACAAGAAUUUUAUUAUUCGACUUUGUGUGAUAAAUAUUCUUAUUUGACUUUGUGUGAUAAAUAUUCUUAUUUGACUUUGUAUGUGCUCUUUUCGAACAGGAAAGUUGUAGCAGAACUUUUCAACAUGACCAGGGACAAUGUAUACCAUCCCAAGCAUAAUUGGACACUCUCGGUGCAGGAACAUCUUAAGAAAAGCUUAGGUGAGGAAGGCCUAAUAAGGCAAUCCCUUUCGUCGAAGCCAGGCGUAUUCAUAUCACACCCACUCCCUGAAUGCUCUUGUAGAAUAUCUUCUGCCGAGGUUCCAGUUCAUGUAAAAGGUAAUGACGGACGAAGUGUGCAUGGAGGCGAAGAAGAGUGCCCCAAGUGGAUGCAGCAUGGUCAGGAAGUUCCUUUGGAAUCGGCUGGGGAAGAGGAUAAAGUGGAGGACAAUGAAUUGUCUGAGUACGGAAGUACUCUGGUUGAGCAACCAGAAUCAAAUGACAGUGACAGAACUAAUACAAGUCUAGUCUUUGAUCAGGAUGAUGAAAUGGACCCGAAUGACUAAAAUUGGAUUUCCAUAUGAUACAAGUUCUUUUUACUGUAAGGCGGCAUUCAGUUUCCAUCAUUUUCUUCUGAAAUGGAAAAGUUUUGGAGGUAGAGUAAUACUAAGGUUUGAUUCCCGGUUCCAACUUUGCCAUUUGGAGAGGUAUAGGUAUUCAAACAUAUUCUUUGGGUCAAUUCUUGGGUUUUCUAUAACAGGAGUUAUUUGUGUAGCUUACUGUGAAAUGAGGAUCGGGUAAGAUCAAUGAACUUGGGGUAAGCUGAUCAGCGUUUGUACACCUUUUUAGCCAUAUUGAAGCUUUUCAACCAUAGGACUACAUGUUAGAUAAGCCACCUGUGUAAAAUUUAUUCUUUUUUUUUUUUUUUAUAUAUGUUUUUUAUAUACAGAGAACAAAUGACAGGUACACUGGAUGCUUCACUGCGGAUCUUUUGUUAAAUUUUUAUUGGAAAUUGAUUCUUUUGUUGGUUUCAUUUCCUGUCAAAAUGAGCUUUGCUUUGACAGCAAGUCACAAUGGUUUGUUUAUACGCGGUUGAAGUUGGAUGCCGCAUUUCAGUGGAAUCUUCGUUGUUUCUCCUUUUUCACGGGCAUGAAUUACUUUGAAGCUUUAUGGUGAUGCAGCAUCUCCAUAGUGAAGUGAUCAAGCUUUGGAAAUUUACGGAUGAGCUUCUAUGUUGAUAUUUGGUACUUGCAAAAUUAUUUAUCCAAGAAAGAAUAUUGACAGCUCAAAAUUUCGGUCGCAUCUUCAACUAGAGCUAGUUAUCUCUAACAGCACAAAGUUGAAGCACUUGCAUGUAAAAAGGUAAAAAUACAAAUCAUAGUAACCGCAUGAUUCCUUAGAAGAAACAAAAUUAAAUCCAACUUUAAUUUCAUAUAGAAAGUUCCGAGAGAGUCCUAAAUAAUUGUUUACAAACAAACCAAAACUUGCAGUAACUUAAACCAAGAUUGUUGUUAAUUGUUACUCAUGCAAACUUGCUUGCUACAGCUUACCAUUAUUUGCAGUACCCUAAAAACCACUCACCAGAAUGGGAGGUUGUAAUCUUAGUUUCAUACAAGACAUUAGCUUCCACAUGUAAAUAAAACAUAACAGAUCAGUUUUAUUCAUUACUAUUAACACCCUUUAUUCACACAACAUAUAAAAAAACAUAGAUUGCAAAGUAUGGACCAUGGAGAGCUGAAAUGCACUACCACAGAGGUUAUAUGCUGCAUCAGUAGCCGCCAGUGCCGCAUCUGUGGGCUUCUCAGCAAGAGUGAGACUUUCACCUUCAGCUUCUUUUAUCUGCCUCAUGAUGUCUAACUUUGUUUCAGAUUAGUUUUAUUCAUUACUGUUAACACCCUUUAUUCACACAACAUAUAAAUAAAACAUAGAUUGCAAUGUAUGGACCAUGGACAGCUGAAAUGCACUACCACAGAGGUUUUAUGCUGCAUCAGUAGCCACCAGUGCCGCAUCUGUGGGCUUCUCAGCAAGAGCGAGACUUUCACCUUCAGCUUCUUUUAUCUGCCUCAUGAUGUCUAACUUUGUUUCACGAAGGGCUUCUAUUUUGCCAUUAAUCUUCUCUAGCUUCUGUUUCAACUUUCCAACAUCCUUGGACUUGUCCUUCUUAUCAACUUUUCUUUUUUUCUCGCCCUUGUCCUUUUUAUCUUUGUCUUUCUUCUCUUUACCUUCCUUUACUUCAUCUUUCUGGCUCUGUUCCUCCAUUUCAUCCUCUGAUUCCUUGACAUGUUCUAUUUCAAUCUCCCUAGAAGUAACUUCAACCUUGGUCUUUUCCUCAUCCUCUACAUUAUUGUGUUUCUCCUUUCUCUCCUUCUUGUCUAUUUUCUCUUCUUUUUUCUCGUCCUUCUUCUUCUCGUUCCCAUCAUCAUCACCCUUGUGUUUCUUCUUUUUAUCAUCUUUGUCUUUAUUCUUCUUCCCUUCUUUUUUGCUGUCAUUGUCUUUUUCCUCAUCCUUUUUCUUCUCCUUCUCAUCAUCAUCACCCUUGUGUUCCUUUUUUUUCUCCUCCACAUCUUUCUGCUUCUUCCCUUCUUUUUUGUUGUCAUCGUCUUUUUCCUCAUCCAUUUUCUUCUCCUUCUCAUCAUCAUCACCCUUGUGUUUCUUCCUUUUCUCCUCCACAUCUUUCUUCUUCUUCCCUUCUUUUUUAAUGUCAUCAACCUUUUCCUCAUCAUUUUUCUUCUCUGUUCCAUCAUCAUCAUUCUCAUGUUCCUUCCCUUUCUUCUCUUUCUUCUUCUUCUUCUUCUUAUUCUCUUCUUUUUCCUCAUCCACAUUAUCCGCAUCCUCCUCUUUUUUAUCUGUGUCCUUCCUUUUCUCUUCAUCUUCUUUCACCUUGACCUGAUCCUUCUUUUCCUUCUUCGACUCUUUUUCAUCCAUAUCUUUCUCUUUGUGUUUAUAAUCAUCCUUGCCUUCAAUCUCUUCUUCCCCUUCAUCUAAAUCUUUACCCUUUUCCUUCUUCUCUUUUUUAUUUUUCUUCUUUUUAUCUUUUUCCUCCCCCUCUCUAUCAUCUUCUUUAUCUUCUGAGCCUAUAAUAUCUUUGUUCUUCUCCUUUUUCUUCUUCUUCUCUUCCUUGUCCUUCUUUUUAUCCCCGUUGCUCUGUUUCUCUUCCUCGUCCUUCUCUUUGCCACUCUUGUUUUUUUUCUUCUUUUCCUUCUUGGUUAUGUCUUUCUCCUUCUUCUUUGAUUUCUCCUCAUCUUUAUCAAUAUGUUUCUCCUCAUCCUUUUUAUGUUUUGGCUUCUCUUUUACCACUGACUUGGUCUUUAAUUCAAGUUCCACCUCAGCCUUCUCCUUCUUUAAUUCACCUGGUUGUGCAUCCUUGGUCUUGACCACUACAUGGGAUUCUUCCUUUUCAACCCUUUCUUCCCCUGGAUGUUCAAUUUUGUCUUCCAUCUCCAGAUUAUAUCCUAAAAUUUUAAAUGUAAAACUGUUUCCUCUGGACCUGAGAUUACCCGAAACAAAUGUAAAUGUAAGACGAGUAAUCUGAGAACAAAUGCAGUAGAAUAUGAAAAUCCUAAUACUUGGUGAAUUAUAAAAUCUCAUAAUUAACAAGAACAAGAAAAGCCAUUGUGUUUGCCUAAAUAAGAAUAAAUUGUUUACGUUUAGAGCUCUGUAGUCAGCACAUCACAGCCAAUGCUUAAACAAUUGGAAGAUUACAAAUAUUUCAUCUACAUGUUUUACUAUAAAAAUGCAAGCUAAUGAAACUUAUAUUCCUUUCUUCAAUCCUCAUGAAAAAUCGACCCAAAGAGUCUGCUGGCGAAGUGGAUACGGUUGAACAACGCCGUCAGGGCGGCCCCAUUGAUCGGCCCGAUGCCGCAGAUGCCGGUCCAUGUACUAAUUAAAAUAAAUAUUUAAGCUUCAAAAUAUGCAGUUUUGACUGAUCACUGCUAGAAAGUUAUAUCAAAUGUCUCGUCUUUUUCGUAUAUAGUUCCUAGAAUAUUACUAGAGUAGAGACUGACUAUCAAUUUUGGUGUGCAAAACUGACAACUUGAAAAGGUAUGGAGGAUGGAUCUCAAGCAAUGAAAAAUUUCAAAGAUGUGAAAUUCAAUAGGACUGCAAGAUUGGAUUAUAGACCAUAGACCUCAUUACAUUCUGCUUUGUUGCACACACUAGUUCCUGAAAGCAAAAGUAAGGCUCUCCCCAGACAAAAGGGGAUUCUUUCAUCUACUAUGAUAUGAUUGGUUCUGAGGAAAAACUAUCACUCUAUCCAAGUUUGCUACAAACAGGAAUUUUGAGGCUUGUCUAGUCUACAAAAUAUCUUAGCAAAAGCAUUAGAAUCCCGUGGAAAGCCGUGUUCGAUGACAGUCGUAUGUAUGGGUUGGAGAGAUUAAUUUCAGCUGAUUCUGUUAUAGCCUAUAAUCUUUAAACAUUAGGGGGUUUCUUCCAAAUUGACUUUUAUUUUUGAUUUUCAACACAAAACACAUUUUGGUCCUUCACUGCUAUAUAUUUUUUUCUAAACAACGGUUUGAGUACAGAAUACGUACAGUAUUUGAUAACUUUUUCUCUACAUUCCCAAUACACAAAGUAAGUAAAUAAUUUGAUAAAAUCAAACUGAACUGAUAAAAGAAAGAAGAAAAAAAAGAAGCCAUUUACAGAUUCAAGAGAGAGACAGUGAGAGUGCACUUGAAUAGUAAGGAAUUAAGGAUCUGUCCUCAACUAUCUAAUUGCGUGCUUAAAUUGUGAAACCAGUAAGUAAACAAACCAAGAUGAACACAUCAAGUAAAAGCAACAACGACAAAACUUCAUUUCUCAUUCACAAUUCCAAAGACAAAGUAGCAGCAGCUAUAGACAUAUAGUGAUUUGCAAGAAAAAUUGGCAACAACUCCAAUUCUGUGUGUACCUUAAUUUGUGUUUCCCCAAAGGAAAAGAAGAAACCGAUACAGAUUGCUGUGUUGUGUUUGUAAGUAACAGUGAGAGAGAGAGAGAGAGAGAGAGAGAGAGAGCGAGAGAGCCUGUGGUUUUGCAGGUUAGCUUAGAGUGUGAAGAGUGGUGUGGCUAUUUGUUUUGUAUAUAUAUCCUAUUAGGAAUGAAGGCUGUUUGGGCAUUGAUUACUUCACAGAUAGCCACCUGUCAGUCUUUUCGUCAACACGGAAAGGACCGAAAUUUUACACGGACGGACCUUAAACCUUUGCGUACGUAUCCAUGGUUGUCUUUAACUCCCUCCUUCCUACGUCGGUUCUUUCUUCUCCAACACUUGCGACACCUGCGACUUGACAAAUAUCACACUUCUGACGCGGUUUAUUGGAAGUUUUAUUUCAUUAUUUACUGUCGUCCCCUUGAAACUGAGUGAUCCAUUUUACUCUCCUACCCGACCAACCAUUUUUUUACCUACUCUUAACUUCAUCCAGAAAUAUAUUAAUUUUGAUGAUGUGACAUGAAUAUUUUGAUAAAUUUGCACAAUUGAACCAAUUACUUGUCAAAUUCAGUGACUUAUCUAGCAAACUAGAGCCUACGUGUUGAAUGUAGCUUUUGCUUGCGUAAUUUUGCCCCAAAUUGGGGAGAUGAUGAUGAAAUUGGCCCUACUUGUGAGUGGUUAUAGUGUAAUACGGUAGUACGGUCAUGUUGUAUAACUUGUGUUGUGCUUUUUCACUGUGAAAUUCAAAGUUAACCACACCAUAAUAUAAACCACACUUGGAUAGAAUAAUAUAAACAAGAAAUAAAAAUAUUGUACAAGAGAUUGACAAGGUUUGGCAAAAUAAUGCCUACAUGCCCGAAUAGAGUACUUCACUAUGAGAAUACUAACAGUAUAAGAUACACUUGAGUUAAAUCAACAUAACCCAAACCCAAAACCCUUGUACACCCACUUACAAUGUUUACCAAGAACUCUAUCUCUCACCCACAUAUUUCUCCCUGUUUUUCACUCUCUCUGCGCUCUCUAACUUUCUCACGGAAUGCAACCAACACAAAACAAGCUACACUUCUAUUUAUAUAGAAGCCUUGAGUGGGCACCAAGCUAGGGGGAAGCGUCUGCAACAAGCUUCCUUCAAUAUGAAGACUUUACCUCCUCACAACUUUUACCAAAGCCAUCAUUGCAUGAAACUACCACUUGAUGCACUGCCUAUUAGCUACACCAAAAGUCAAAGAUUGCUACACUAUAUUUACCUUGUAGCUUAUCCCACACUUUUAACUUGUGGGUCCAAUUAUCAUAAUAUUUACACCAAUUUUAACAAUCUCCACCUUGGUGAAAAUGCCAUGCAAAACUCGGAGCAUCACUAAGAAUAAUUAAACCAUUGGCCUUCACAAAACACACCAGCUACACAUCACAUAAAUCAACAAAUUUGGCCCAAUCCCGAUUCAUGUUACACGACUAUUGAUGCUCAAAAUGGCUCGGCCAAUGUUGAGUCCAACUUAGUGAUGAGGUGUGUGGAGUCUUCAGUAGAGAAGAAGGCUAAGGCCUUUGAUAAGGGGGGAACCUGCAGAAGACAAAAUGGGAGAAGCAAUCGUUAAGCUUUGGACACCGGUGUGGUGCCGGCCAAAGGCUCUCCUAUGCUUAAGCCAGCUAUAAGUGGUAAUUUUGGCAAAGUAACAAUAAAGGUGAGAAAGUAGAUACCCUUUUUACUUGGGUACUGUUCCCUAUUUAUAAGGAGGUGAAAGUGGGAGGUUUGCACAAAGUUUCAAUGUGGGACUUUGUGCAAGUCGUCGUGGUGGCGACACGUGUCCUAGGGAUUAGGUUUGGCAAUUAGGAGCUUCGGCAGGUGUCUGGCACAUCGGAAGUGUGUCUUCCUUUGGCAAGGAAGAAGGCGUGGCUGUCUUGGUGCUAGUCGCUUUGAGGCUGAGUAUGCUCGAUUGAUUAUGGUGUAAACAGUAGUCCCCCAAGUUUGAGGUCAAGAAGUAACUUCUGGGUUGGGAACUUGUGAGUUUUCGUGACCGAGCAUUCCAGCUUUAGUGGGAGCCGUAAGGCAUUCCCUAAUCCCCCAAGUUGACAAGCUAGAAGUUGCGGCAACACUUGGUAGCUGUGUGAGCUUCUAGGACUAUUUGGUAGCUGGGUACCCAAGUUUUUGGCAAGGAAGCUGGGUCUGGGGCCUUGAAUGAUGAGCCCUUAUUCUUCUUGCAAUGCCUACUGUUCGGCAGGCUUCCUUCUUCUUAUUUUUUUAUUUUUUUUAUUUUUUUAUUAUUUAAGUCUUGGGCCUUGGAAAUUGAGUGCAUCAGCAAGGGAGUGGCUCGUGGGCCUCCAGGUGUUAGAGCGGGUUGUGACCAUGUCUUGACUUUGGGAGGAAAGGGGGUGGGCCUUUUUUGUUUCGGCAGCGUAGCUGGGCCACUUUUGGGCCUAGGCAGGGCCUUAGGGUCUAGAAUUUAGAGAGGCAUUCAGCACCAUGGGCCUAUGGAUUAAUUCGAAAGGACCUGGGGUCUUUUUUCUUAGAGUGGGCUGAGCCACGGAGAUAUUUGUUGGGGCUAGGGUUAAGAUUUGUGAGAGGGGUGUAAAUAAGUUUCUAUAGCUCUUGCCGUUCGGCAAGAAAUAGCUGGGACCUUUUUGUAGCUGGGUCUGGCAGUAUCCCUUCGGCAAGGACCUUCUUUCGGCAAUUGGAGCUCUUCUUUCCUUCGGCAAGGGUGUUGGGUUCCAAGGCAAGGUUAAGCUGGGUUUUGGGGGUUCUUGCCGAUCGGCAAGGUUGUUUUCGAAGGAGUUGGUCCUUCAGCAGUCGGGCACUUCAUUGAAGUUUCGGUAGGAGGGUGAAGCCGGGCUGCAUGGGUAUUUCGGUAAGAAUUGGUUUUGCUACAGCAGCUUUUGUGGGCGCGCAUUGGAUAGUUUGGCAGCAGUCCCUGCCAAACGGCAGGGUUGGCAUGAGUUUUGUUGAAAGGUUCGUGAGCUAAAGAGGGUGAACUAUUCGUGUGGCUACGAUUCCAGCAUAGCUUCGGCAAGGUAACAUUCUUGCGUCCCUGUUUUUUGUUCGUUCUCGGACCUUGCCGUUCGGUAAGCUUGACUUUGAGCCUUGAUUAUUGCUUUCCAAGCUUCAGCAAGACAGUGGGGUCGGCAAGGGUGUCCAGAGUAAAUUUAAAUUGUUUGUGUUUAAAGGGUGGGGCUGGGCAUAAGUUGGAGUCGGGCCCUUUGUGGUGGCACGGAUUUGAACUGGGUCACCAUAGCUUCGGUAGCAACUGGGCUAUAUGACCCGGGUCUAUUAAGGUACGCAUUUUUUCGCAGCUCCUCCUUUUGGUUUGUUCAUCCCUUGCCGUUCGGCAAUGGGGGGUUGAGAGAUUUAUUUUGCUGUUUUUUAUGUUUAGCAAUUUGUGAAAUCGAAAAAAUUUGGUGUCGGCAGAAGUGCUUGGCUAGGCUACACGAACCGAGCGAGGUGCUGAAGUGUGAGAAGGGACUUGAGGACUUAGAGCUGGGUCUUGUGAAGGUAAAAUAUAUAUAUAUAUUUUUUUUGGCAGAGCUGGGCUCGUGGGUUAGAGCUGGGGUCUUUGAUUUGUGAGCUGUGGUAAGCUUGGGCCUGCCAGGUUGUGCUGGGGUGAGCUUGGUCCUUCAUGCUAGUUCCUCACUUGUUAUAAAGAACCUAAAUUGCUUUGAUGGUUGUUUGACUUUGCAGCAGGGGAUGUAGACUUGCUGUGAAUUUCGUGGGUUUCUAAAUAAUUCUGCACGGCCCUUGCCAUUUGGCAAGGCAUAAGGAAUUUGCUGAGUCUUGACUCGGCGAGAGUGCUUUUGUCGUAGCUUCACCGUUGUAUCUGGGAGCUAGGCCCUUGGAUUUAUGUCAAGAACUUUGGCAAGAUAGGCCCAAGAGGUAUUGGAGCUAGGCCAUUGGCGUGUUGGUGGUGCCUAAUCCCUUAACAAGAGCAAGACCACCCUUACGUACGUGUCUUCGGGUGUUUUAGUGUAGGUGAGUUUGGAGCUGGGCCUCUUCGGUCGCCACUUGGUAGCUGGGCCUUGAUUUCGGUAAAGGUAAGAAUUUUAUGACCUCCCAAAAUAAGUUUUCAUGGGACUUGCCCAUUUCGAAAUGGUGGUAACUUUGGUUUUUGUAGGCUUGAAGGGCUUGGUUUCGGAGCUUGGUUUGAGCUUGUAACUUCUUUCAAGAGGCUAGGCCUCUCGAUUUUUGUUUUUUGAACCUUGGUGGGCGUUUAGCUGGGUCCCGAAGGUUUAGGCAAUAGCCGGGGUGUCUUGGGGCUUCGGCAAGACAAGGAAGAAAUCGGAGCUGAGCCUUUAGAGCUAGGCCUGCGUCAGAGCUGGGUCAUUAGACUCUUGGCAAGAGCUGGGCUUCUUAAAGCUAGGGCACGGAUUUUGUUGCUUUACUUUUAGAAAAAAGGUGAAUGGUAAGCCCUCCCGUUUUACUUCCACGGGUCUUGCCUUUCGGCAAGGUCCCUUUGAAAUCUCUUCGCUGCUUUUUUUUGUUUAAAAUAUGAAUUUCAAAUUAUGUGUAGGUACAAGAAAUUUGAGGGGAAGUGAGGGGGUGCUAGGGUUUUCUCAUGAACCGAGGCGUGGGUACCCUUGGUUCGUUAUAAAUAGGAACUUGGGGUGGCUAAGGCACUACACCUGAGUUUUGGAGAAAAAGUGCUAGAAAGUGAGAAGGAGAAGAAGAUUUCCGCCGAGGUUUGGUGGUGGUGCUUGUGGCCAAGGUGAUUUCCGGCGAUUCUUUCGUGGUGGUGCAAACAAGGUUAGGCCCUGUUUCUUUGAAAAUUUUGAAUUGAAAUGUCUUUCUUUGUAUGAACAUGUUGAAGGCUAGGAAGAACACCUUGAAUAUGAGCAUGAACAUGAUGAACACGUUGAACAUUGAGAUGAACAUGUUGAGUGCCUGUUUGUAAACCAAAAGACAUGUAGAUUAUCCAUCUUUUUAUGUUGUUGUGUUUCAAUCCUCCUUGCAUGUGCAUUAGUUCCUUUUUCUUAUUUUUGCAUAUUGUAGAUGUCUGAAAAUUCUGAUAGAGAAAGUCAUGAACCCCCUGCUUUUGGUGGGGAUGAUACUAAGAGUGAAGAGCCCAUCCAAUAUAUUUGUUAUGAAGAGGAGAGUUUAGAGACAGAGGGUGUGGUAGAAGGUAUUAUAGAAAGUAGGGUGGUAGGGCAUGAGGGUGAGGGGGGUGAGCCAUCAGUAGACUCCGGGUCAGCUGCAUAUAGGGAGAUGUAGAGGAACUAUAUAGAGUUAGAGGCUAUAGCGAACCGAGUUCUAGCCUUGCCUCAUACGCUAGAGGUGGGUUCGAGCAACCAGGCAUCACCAUCGGGGUCCGUGAGUAUAGCCGUGGCCUCAGUUUCAGAGGGAGUGGACAUUCGGGUUGGUGUCCUUUUGGUGAGGCGGAACACCCUUACAGAAGCAAAGUUGGCCCAGCUUCGGACAAACUAUUGUGUUCCACCCUAUGUGGGCUUGAGGUUACCCACUGCAGCUGAUGUGAUUAGAUAUCCUUCGAAUGGCUCUGUGAUGAUUUUUACGGAUAUGUACUGGCAUGGCUUCAGACUACCAUUUCAUCCAUGGGUGCAGAUGACGUUGGCUAAGUUGGGAUAUGCGCCGGGGCAGUAUAAUCCCAACAUUUGGAUUCUUCUUUAUGGAGUUUACAUCGCUUGGUGGCUGGGUGGGUUGAGGGAGCCAACAUUUGAGCAGUUCAUGUACUUGUACUCGGUUUCGAAACAACAGGGAAGUUUUGGCUGGGCACAGGCCAAUUGCCGAAAGGCGAUGGGUUAUUUUAUUAGUCGCAAGCCAUCUACGCAAAAGUCUUGGAGGAACAAGUGGUGCAUGGUUCAUGGUGACUAGGAGUGUCCGCCAGGGAAGACCUUUACCCAACACAUUCCUACCCACUUCCAGUCUAUAGGUCCUUGGCCCCAUCCCUUAAGACUGUUUGGUGUUUGAUUUUCUUUUUCCUGUUCUCACUCUUGGUUCUUUAUUUUUACGUGUGCAAGUGUAAAUGACUAAGUAGUAUCUAACCUUUGGUGUAGAUUUGGUGAAGUGGGGGCCUAUCUCCAAGGAGCAAGAAGACUAUGUUGAGAGGGUGAGGUCACAGUUAUCAGAGACCGAGAGUGAGUGCCAAAACCUAGUCACCCAAAAAAAUUUGUUGGAGUCUAGACUUCUGCAAGGAAGUAAGUACCUGGGUCACUUUUGUUGUUUGUCUUCUGAUUCCCUUGUGGUUGCGACUAACAUAGUUUUGUUAUUUUUGAUGUGCAGUGGCGGGUAUUAUAAAAGGGAGCACGAAGGUGGUAGUAGAUAUUGAUGAUGCCGAGAUACAGAAGCGGCUAAGGGAGUCUCAGGCCAAGAAGGCGGAGCAGGGGACUGGGAAGCACCCUAGAGAUAAUGAUGAGUGCCGGGUUGUUGACAUGUUGGGAAAGAGGAAGGCCUUGGAGGAAGCUUAUCAGCAUGUGAUGGGGGCGGGACCGAGACUUCCUCCCUUUGAUCUGCAGGCGCCGCCGAAGCUCCCCUUUGGCAUGGAGGACAUUUUUGCUGAAGGGGUGGAGAAUGUGGACUUCGGCAAACUACGUUAGUAGAAGGAGGUGAACUUAGCCAUGCAUCGGCAGGAGGUGCCCCUGGUGAACGUCUUCCUAGAAGGCAUGAAGAGUGACCCCAAGGCCCUGGCGAGGACCCCGGCCUCUUCCUAUAUAAAUCGGGCCUAGAAGACGAUCCUCACUUCUGCCUAUGUAAGUUGUGACUUUGUUUGUGAAUUUUUUUGUAUCAUUCUUGUUUGGUCUGACUGAUGUUGUUUUGUUUUGCAGGCCUUUGCGAGAUGUAUGUCAGCAUGGCCAAGGUAGAUAAAGAGAUCCAGAGGCUGAAGAGGCGUGAUGAGAUGGCUAAGAGCAAAAUGGCGGAGGUGCAGGAGGCCAUCCGGGAGAAAAACACCCUGCUGUUGCAAAAGGCGGCCCUAGCCAAGGAGGUGGAGGAGCUAAAGCGGUCGAAGGCCGAGGAGGUAGCUGCUGCCCGAGUCAAAGCGAUCGAGUCGUUCCGAACUUUAGAAGAGCUGAAGAGUUAGAUCAUGGACCAACUAGUGGAUGAGCAGCUUCACUUAAAGGAUAGGCUGGUUAGGUUCAACCCCUCGGUUGAGAUUAACUUUGAUACGAGUGGCGAGCCUCCUGCACCUAGUCCCACUACGGAUGCUACUGCUCUGACGCCAGAGGUAGAGCCAGCCACUGGGGAUGCCUCCUCUACUGAGUCUUGAAGGCGUUGCCUUCUUUAUGUAUUCUAGCUACCAUGUUGGAACACUUGAUGUUUAUUUUUGCUUUGUAUGAACAUGUUGCCUUGUGUGAAGCAAGGUUAUUUUGAUUUCCUAUGAUAUGAGACUUGUUGUCAUAUGGUAUCAGUUGUGCUAGCAAAAUGAUAAUUAUGUGAGUCAUAGGAAUUAGCCAGAGUCAGGCGUUUCAUUCAAAUAAGUGCCGAAAGGCAGAUGGUACAAGAGUUGGUUGAGUCAAGGCUCAAGACCGAAGUAUAAGAGAACAUAUUGUCCUAGGGUCUAGGUAUGUUUACUUAUAGUAGUACUUGAGGUGAUUAGCGUUCCAAGGAUGAGGCAACGUCUUGCCCUUGGGAUUACGAAGCUAAUAAGUGCCGGGAUGACAGAUUUUGAUAAUCUCAUAAGGACCUUCCCAUGUGGGGCCUAAGGUACCUUCAGUAGGAUUUUUGGUGGCCAAGGAAACCUUGCGCAUGACCCAGUCCCCCAUUUUGAAAGCACGGGGCUUGACUCGGGAGUCGUAGUAUUUGGCGAUGCGCUGUUUGUAUGCGACAUUGCACAUGUUGGAUUGGUUACGGAGCUCUUCAAUGAAGUCGAGGUUUAGGGCUAACUGCUCGUCAUUGGCCUUGGCAUCAUAAGUGGAGGUUCGGUAUGUGGGCUAGCCAAUCUCCACUAGUGCCACGGCUUCGGUACCAAAUGAAAGAGAGAACGGUGUUUCUCCUGUGGAGGUACAGAAGGUGGUGCGGUAGGACCAGAGAAUCUCUAGAAGUAGCUCUGGCCAGCAGCCUUUGGCUUUGUCAAGUUUGGUCUUUAGGGUCUUCUUGAUAAUUUUGUUCACGGCUUCGACCUGGCCAUUGGACUAAGGAUGGGCUGGUGAUAAGUCCAUAAAUAUACUCAUUUAUGUACUCUUUUUACUUUGGUUUUGUAAGAGAAUUAGAUUUAAAAAGGGCUUAUUACUUUAUUUUUCUGAUUUUCAGCUUUUCUGCGCUCUUAGAAGGUUUUUAAGGGAAAAUCAACUUUUCGGAGGAAUUUUAGCGCAAGACCAAUUGGAGAUGAAAGCUAACAUCUUGAAGUUCAAUCUAUGAUUUUUCUAGAAUUUUCUACCAAGCCAAUUGGUACAGUAUUGCAAGUAAAGUUAGCCCACGUGCAGACAGGACAGUUUCGUACAUGUUACGUGAAUGUGAAGAAACGGAAGCCUUUCCGAAUUUUUCAAGUUACGUGCUAUAUAUGGUUGGAAAGAUAAGACAUUUAUCUUUCUAAAAUAUAUUUUUAAUAAUUUUUCUACAAGGUCGAAGAUCCCCAAAUCGUGUGAACAUUGGGCUGAGCUGUAUUUCCCAGUGGAGUUAGGAAUUGUGAUUUUUACUUUCCUAUUUGGAUUCCUUGUUUACCAAGACUUCUUGGACGACUUUUCAGUCAAUUUUAGGGUUUAGAACUCUGAUAUAAGUGAUAUAAAAGAUGAGCCAAGGCCUGAAGAAAAGCAUUCACGUCCUAAAGAGAUCAACGGCGCAAGAGGAGAAAGCUGCGAACGAGUUCUUUCUUUUCCUUCCUUCUUUUAAUUUUCAGUUCUUAUGUAUUUAUUUUUGAGUUCAUCCAAGACCAUGUGUAACUAAUUUCUUGUUAGUUAGGGCUUAAUCUUGAAGCCCUAAAUAUGAUUUCAAUUUUAUAAACAAGUUUAAUAGAUUUUUAGUUUCUACAAGCGUGAUGAUUUCGGUUUCUCUAUGUUAUGUGAAUUCUGAUAUUUUGUUUCUUUGAGUAGCUAACUUAGAAGCAUGUAUUGGAAUUAAAUUGUUGUAGAACAUAGGUCAAUUGCCAUAUUGAAUGUGUUCUUGUUUGCAACGAAUAAUUGGGUUAAGAACUAGUUAUGAGAAAUCGAUUCUUGAAUUCCUAAUAACAAAUGCCAUGUUUUAGGGUUUCUGUGACACUCAUAUUCUCUUUGAUCUUAAUGGAUUCUUGAUUGUUAAUUUGAGUAAAUGCCAUACUAAAUUUCAAUUAAGAAUACACGUAUUGAUGUAAAUGCCAUACACUUUACAUACACUUAAGAGAGAAUCAUACAACUCGAGUCAAAUGCCAUGAUCUUGUUGUGAGUGUCGUCAUCAUAUGCUUGCUAGAAAUUGAUUAUCUAUUGUUGUUUAUGGAUUGAUUGAUUGUUUGGAGGUGGAUAGUAAGUCCUAGCUAUUGUUCUUGAUUAAUUUUAAACAAAUUUCUCUUAAACUCUAAUUUAAAUUCUCUUUUGUUUCCUUUUCCUUAUUUUGUUUGAUUCAUAAAAACAAAUCAAAACCCCCCUUGGUGUUGGCGUGUGUUUGGAAGUCCUUUGUUUUGAUUUUCAUUGCGUGACAUUGAUAAACAUCUCUUUAGAUCACAAUCUCCGUGGGAUCGACCCUUGCUUGCUUACUAUACUAUCAUUUGAUUAGUGCACUUGCAAGGUUUUAAUAUUGUUGUUAAAAUUUACCAACAGCUGGGGAGGCGAAGCAAAGACGGAUCUUGAGGUUAGAACAAAAUUGUUUGAAUUUGUAUUGUCAAAUUGCCGGCCAUUGUCUGUGACGAUGGUGUUGGGGAUGUCAAAGCGACAUAUGAUAUUUUGCCACACAAAGGUUUCGAUGUGGGUUGCAGUGAUGGUGGCUAAGGCUUCGGCUUCAGCCUAUUUGGUGAAGUAGUCUACGGUUACAACUGCAUACUUGACUUGGCCCUUGCCCUCAUGCAUCAGUCCAAUGAGGUCCAGUCCCCAUUGGGCAAAUGGCCAAGGACUGACCAUGGCUGUCAAUGGUUCAGCUGGAAGUUGUAGGAUAUUGGCAAAUCUUUGACACUUGUCACGUUUCUGGGUGAAGGCCUGGGCAUCAGCGUGGAGUGAGGGCUAGAAGUAUCCUUGGUGAAUUGCCUUAUGAGCCAGUGAGCAUGUGCCUGAGUGGUUGCCGCAGAUGCCUUCAUGAAUUUCCCGAAGGACAUAAUGACCUUCCUCUAGAGUCAGACAUCGGAGGUAGGGAAGGCUGAAACCCCGCUUGUAUAGGGAGCCGUUAAUGAUCAAGUAUCGGGCAGAACGAUAGCGAACGCGUUGUGCCUCAGCAGAAUUAGCCAGUAGUGUUUGGUUCUGCAAAAACUGAAGAAUGGGGUCCAUCCAUGUAGGGCUAUGAUCAAUGGUACAGAUGAGUGGGGCUUGUGUAUUGGGCUGGUCCAAGAAUUCGAUGUGGAUGUGGCGACCUAUGCCCUGCUCCAAGGCUGAUGCUAACCUGGCCAACACAUCAGCAUGGCUGUUCUCAGAGCGUGGCACUUGGCUUAUAAGAUGAGCGUCGAAGGUUGCAAGCAACUGUCGGGUAUGCUGGAGGUAAGCUGUCAUAGAGGCGUCCUUGACCGUGAAGUCCUGGUUGACUUGAUGGACAACGAGCAGUGAAUCGCUAAAUAUCUGAAUUUGUUUGGUGUCCAUCCUCUUGGCUAGUCGAAGGCCAACUAAGAGUGCUUCGUAUUCGGCCUCAUUGUUGGAGGUGUGGAAUUUGAAGUGGAGGGCAUACUCCAAGGCAACCUUGUCUGGGGAGAUGAGAACGAGGCCGGCCCCACACCCUUGGGCAUUGGAAGGGCCAUCCACAAAUAAAGUCCAUAGGGGCUGGGUCAGGUCUAAAGUGCCUUUGCUGGCGGCGUGGUCCUGGCUCGAAGGAAGAUUGGGUUCGGGUAUAAGCUGGGUAGCUACUGAGGCUUGGGGUUCCGUGAAUUCUAAUAAGAAGUCAGCGACUGCCUGGCCCUUUGUAGCUAGGCGAGGUUUGUAGUGUAUAUCAAACUCACCAAGUUCAAUGGCCCACUUAACCAACCUCCCAGAAGUUUCUGGUUUCUGCAACACCUGUCGGAGCGGUUGGUUGGUUAAGACAUGGAUGGUGUGAGCUUGGAAGUAUGGUAUAAGGCAUCUAGCCAAGACUACCACGGCGAAGGCCAAUUUCUCAAUGUCUAGGUACCGGACCUCGGCGUCCUGCAAUGCUUUACUAACAUAAUGCACUGGGUGCUCCGUGCUAUCCCUUAGUCGGAUGAGCAUAGAGCUAACUGCCGUAACCGAGACGGAGAGAUAAAUCAUGAGGAUGUCUCCGGGCCCAGAGGUUGACAAUAAAAGGGCCCGGCCUAUAUACUCCUUGAGCUUUCUGAAAGCCUUCUCACACUCGGCAGUCCAGGUAAUGUUGCACUUGCUACCCUUUAGUGCCUUAAAAAAUGGGGCACAGCGGUCAGUGGCCUUGGAGAUAAAUUUGGUCAAGGCUGUGACACGUCCUGUAAGGCUUUGAAUGUCCUUGACUGUCUUAGGUAUCGUCAUGUCUAAGAUGGCCUGGAUCUUCUCUGGAUUGGCCUCAAUACCCCUCUGGCUGAUCAUGAAGCCAAGGAAUUUGCCUAAAGCCACCCCGAAUGCACAUUUUGUGGGGUUAAGCCUCAUUCUAUACUGCUUCAAGAUGGUGAUCAUGGUAGAGAGGUUAGGGAUGUGCUGGUCAGCUAUGCGACUCUUGACUAGUAUGUCAUCAACGUAUACCUCCAUGGUGUUGCCAAUCAAUGGGACAAAAAGGCUGUUCACCAGACAUUGAUAAGUAGCCCCGACAUUCUUGAGGCCGAAGGGCAUCACCUUAUAGCAGUAGAGGCCACGAUCCGUAAUGAAUGAGGUGUGGGCUUGGUCCUCGGGGUGCAUGAAGAUCUGAUUGUACCCUGAGUAAGCAUCCAUGAAGCUAAGGAGGGCGUGGCUAGCUGCGGCGUCAACCAGCUAGUCAAUGCGGGGUAGGGGAAAGCUAUUCUUCGGACAGGCCCGAUUAAGGUUGGUGUAAUCUACACACAUGUGCCAGCUCUUUCUUGGUUUGCGGACCAUCACCACAUUAGCCAGCCAUGUGGGAUAGUCAACCUCCCUGAUGAAUCUGAUACUACUCAGUCUAACCACCUCCGCCCUCAUGGCCUCAUAGCAUUCGGGGUCAUAAGCGCGACAUUUCUGUCGAACGGGUCGGAUGUAGGAUUAAUGCUGAGCCCAUGGGAUAUGAUGUUUGGUGAUAUACUAGGCAUGUCAUUGUAGGACCAUGCGAAGACUUCAUAGUUGAGGUGGAGGAAGGCGAUGAGGUCAUAGCGAAGCUCUUGUGAGAGAGAGGUGCCGAUCCGAGAUGUCGUAAUGAAGAGUAACCAGCUCCAGGUCUUCCACAGGUUCGGCUUGCUGUGUGACAGACUCCUCCCUGGGGUCCUUAGGUCGUUCAGUGCCAGCUUAAGGAGGGGCUGGAGCCUUGGUUACUGCGAGGGCCUCACUCCUAUGUUGGCGAUUAGUGGAUGUGACUGCUGAAGCAUAGCAGCUUCGGGCGCCAAGUUGGUCGCCACGCACCGUGCCUAUGCCAUUAGGCGUAGGGAACUUCAGUAACAACAUAUGUGUGGAAAUAAAAGCCCUCAUUUGGGCUAAGGCGGGGCUCCCAAGGAUGACGUUGUAAGCUGUGGGACAGUCAACAAUGAGGAAGGGGGUGGUGAUCGUCGCCCGCUGGGAUGCGGCUCCAAUAGAUAUAGGGAGAUGAAUGCUUCCAAUGGGUUGGACAACAUCACUAGAGAAGCUUACGAAGGGUGUGAUGCUUCGGUCAAGUAAGUAAGAAGGGACCUGGAGCCCAUUGAAAGCGUCAGCAAACAUCACACUGACCGAGCUACCAGUGUCCACCAAGAUACGCCCAACGUCGAAGUUAGAAAUGUCCCACGGAUAAUGAGUGGGUCAUCAUGGGGGAGGAUAACACCACGCUCCUCCUCAUCGCAGAAGGUAAUGGGGGCCCAGCCUGAUUUUUGGGUCUUUGGCAAGCGUCACUGCUCAGUGCUAAAGACCUAGUGCGCAUAGGUGGAGCGGACAUAAUGUUUGAUGGAGUUGUUAGAGGUGCCAGCCAAGGUAGGACCACCACUGAUGGUGGAGAUCAUGUUGAUCUGCCGUUGGUGAGGGUUAGGUUGGGGUGGUAGGUUGUGCACAUAGUUGUCCAGCUUUCCUUCACGGAUGAGCCCUUCAAUGAUGUUGCGCAAGGAAACACAAGAUUCGGUGUCAUGGCCACUGAACUGAUGAAAGUGGCAGAAAACGCCUGUGUUUGGCAUAGGCUUGCCGGAUUGUCUCCAGGGGGGUGGCUUGGGGAUGAUAAGGGCUUCACGCACCAGGACGUUCUCAUAGGUGGUGUUGAGGGUGGUAAAGACCUCGAACCUGGGCCUCGGUGUGAAGGGAAGUGGGGCCUGAUCACUUGUCUUGGGAGAGUUGCUUCCACUAGAUUGGUGGCGGUUGUCGUGGUUGCCGUGUCUGCCACAUUUGUUAUUGCUGAAGGGAUGCUGGUAGCUAUCCUUCCUUUUUGGGUGUGGGGUACCCUAGGUACUUAGGGCGGGGGUAGAAUGCUGAGGUUGGGCUAGGGCAGGUACUGAAGCAGGUGGAGGAUUAGCAAAAGUGUUACGCGUCAGGUUGGCUGGGCCACGCUUGGAAUUGAAGUAUUCAGCCUUGGCGUGAACCGCUGCCUGCUUCAUUAGCUUUGCAUAUGUGUUCCAACUGUUGUUAUGAACCAGGUAGCGGAAGUUGGACUCCCGGAGGCCACUCUUAAAAGCCCCGAAGGUAGCGCGAUCAUCAGUCUCUGGGCAGCGGGAGUAUUUGUGACUGAAUCGGGCUGCAUACUCCUGAAGGGGUUCGUCCUCACUCUGCCGAAGCAUAUACAAGUCUUUGGCACAGUAUAGGCGAUCAGUCUGGAUCAUAAAAUGGUCCAGGAAGGUCUGCUUGAGACUAUCAAAUGAGUUGAUGGUGCGGGGGUGGAGUCUAUAGAACCAGUUUAGGGCUGCGCCGCUGAGGAUGAAAGGAAAGAGGAGCCACAUGCCUUUGUCAGUGAGGCCCUUACACCCAAGGGCAGAGUGGAAUGAGUGGUUAUGAGUGAAGGGGUCCUCCGUGCCAGUGUAGAAGGCGAUACGGAGCGGCUGGAUAUCCUUCUCCUGGUGGUAGUUGAGGAUACGUUCAGUAAAGGGCCCAGGUCGUGGCUUUUCCCAGAUGGGUUGAUGGCUUUGAUAUUGUUCACUCUCUAGACGUCGGACCUUCUCAAAGAGAAACCUCAUGGCCGGGUAGGUAUGAGGGAGAGUCUCGGGUGCUAAAGGCCUGCGGGGUGGGCAGACAGAGGCUGGGGAAUGUUCCCAUUCUUCCAACGCCUUGGUGUGGUAAGGUGGCCAGGCUUCUGAAUUAUAAAAUUCCCAGCUAUCCGAGUCCCCUACGCUUUCCUCGUCGGGUAAGUAGGUGGGCCCUGGUGGGGGGUCCAGGUGUGUCACCCGUGGGUCUUCAAAGUUGACAGGAAUAGGGAUCGGCUCUAGUUGAUGGUCCAAGAUGCGGUCCCUGCAAUCUCUGUAGAUCCUGACUGGUUCAUGAGGCCGAUCCUUCGGCGGGGGAAUGCAAAAGAGUCGCGACUAGGUUAGCUUCGGAUGAAGGUGGCCUUUACCUUUGCGGAGCCUAGAUUAGGCCGGGGCACUGUGGCUGGAAUGUACUGGCUGGUUUGGCUGGGUAUGCCCAACGUUCUGGGUAAGUUCUUGUUGGGCAUCCUGAGUGUGAGUCCUCUCCCGGUUUCACUUUAGAACACAAUAGUCAUGCUCUAGCUCAGCAUUCCUGAAAUGAAGAUGCUCGUAUUUCUCUGACAUUUUAGUAAUGCUGUCACGGAGGCGCUCCACUUCUGCCUAGAGAUUAGCAUCUCCCGAAGGUUUCCUUCGGGAAGUACCAUCACGGGGGGUAUGGUGCUGGGUAUCGUGGCUAUCCUUGGUCGGCAUAGCAGAAUGUGGGGUGAAGAAGAAGCGACGGGGCCUGAUAGGUGAAAGAGCCUGCUGGGCUAGUAGAGAAAGAGGGGAUUUAAGUGUCUAGUUCCCACAGACGGCGCCAAACUGUUGAUGCUCAAAAUGACCCGGCCAGUGUUGAGUCCAACUUAGUGAUGAGGUGUUGGAGUCUUCAGCAGAGAAGAAGGCUAAGGCCUUUGAUAAGGGGGGAACCUGUAGAAGACAAAAUGGGAGAAGUAAUCAUUAAGCUUCGGACACCGGUGUGGUGCCGGUCGAAGGCUCUUCGAUGCUUAAGUCAGCUAUAAGUGGUAACUUUGGCAGAGUAACAGUAAAUGUGAGAAAGUAGAUACUUUUUUACUUAGGUACUGUUCCCUAUUUAUAGGGGGUGAAAGUGAGAGGUUUGCACAAAGUUUCAAUGUGGGACUUUGUGCAAGUCGCCGUGGUGGCGACACAUGUCCUGGGGAUUAGGUUUGGCAAUUGGGAGCUUCGGCAUGUGUCUGGCACCUCGGAAGUCUGUCUUCCUUUGGCAAGGAAGAAGGCGUGGCUGUCUUGGUGCUAGUCGCUUUUGAGGCUGAGUAUGCUCGAUUGAUUAUGGUGUAAACAACGACCAAUAAACAUGUGUAGCGGCACCAAGCUAACUCCGCUAGUUAGCUUCAGAGGAAGGUCUCAAUGCACCCUCGUCUCCACCAACAAGCUUUAUCCCCUAACAAUUGUCUUUUCCAUGAACACUUGUCAACACUUCCCGUUUCCAGCAACAACCCAUCGAGAUCUUCAUGGUACUACCAUCCAGACGUGUUUUGCGAGUACUCUGCACAGGUAUGUACGUUUGAUUUAUAGUUUGGAAAGUGGGAACUGAAAUGGGUUUUGAACUCUUUUACAUUGAAAACUACGAUCGGUAUUAUUUUUGUGUCAUAAUGUAACUGGUUGAAUUUGUCGAAUUUGAAGUUGUAAAUGAAUCUAAAUUUAAUCGUUGGUAUUACUUUAAAUAAUCGUAUAUUAUUUGAAUCGUGAUUAUUAAUCUAAGAAAUACGUGUGGCUUGAUCUCACACCAAGGGGUACGUAGGUAGCCUGGGGUCACCUAGGUGCAGCCGUAACUUAAAUUAUUACUUUUGUUGAGGUUGGUUUUGAAUAAUUCCCUUACGAUUUUCUGUUUUGCUCCCCUAGGCAGUAGCUUGAUCUGAGUCGAGCAAUCGAGCCAAGAACUGUACUUUCGUGCCCUAAACUUCUGUAGCGCAUUUCUAUUUGUUUAAUUUCCGUUAAACUUCAUUUCGAUUGUAAAUUGCUCUGUUAUAGCCCAUACAGGGUUGGAUUUAAGGCCGGAGGCGUAUUAUGUAAAUUUUAUGCUUUUACAUUGUGCGUGCUGCCAGUUGGACUAUGUUUACUAUGUUUCAAUAGGUUGAAAUUGUGAGAAAAAUCCGUUUUUCAAGGGAGACUUAGCCGAAAUUUCGGUACAAAGUCUCAAGCCUCUUUUCCUUUGUUUUCAAAGAAGAGGAUGUUGUUAGUAAGUGGGCCCAGCAUCGGUUGGAUGUUGGAAAAAUCACAAGGUUCAUUACUAAUUUCGAGGAAUUCGAGGAGGGUCCUGUCAAUUGCCGCUGCCUAUAUUGCUCUCCUCUCUUCAUAUUUUCUCCCCACGACUCCGGUCACCCGAUUCACACCAUACAUACAUCUCCGUACCUUUUUUAGCUAUUGUUUCUCCAAAAUUCAAUCGAACUAACUUAGGCAACGGAGGGCCUUUGGCCAACACCCCCCAGGUAUUGUCUAUUUACUCCGGUCUUUUUUAGAGGAAUCAAGGAGGAGAGAGAAAGAAGUUCAAAGGGGAAAGAAUCUAGAAGCGAAUAUUCUCCCAAGAGAUUAUUUGCACAAACAAUUAGCAUAGAGCUUCCUAUGGACUUCAAGUAACCAAUGAUUUGACUUUAUGAUUGAGCUUAUGACCCAGUUGAUUUUCUAAAUGAUUUUUGAUACUAAAUGAAUGUAAAGGAUGCUAAAGACCCCACGAAGUGUCGAGCUUUCCCUUUUUCUCUUGGAAGGAUCCACUAAGGAUGGUUCAAAUCCUUGAAACUUGAUUCCAUUAGCUUAUUUGAUCCAACUUAACCAAAGUUUCAUCAACCAGUUUCUUUCUGCAUCAAAUAAGAGGCACCCAACCAAGUAUCUCUUGAGAAUUAAGUAAGACCGUAAUGAAAUGUUAUGAGAGUACAUCAGCCGUUUCAACCAAGAAGUAAUCAGUUUCCCAAGCUGCUUCAAGGACACAUCCUAUACAAGUCUUCUGGCUGGAUUUCGGAAAGGACCUUUCCUAUUCCAUGUCAAAACAAUAAACACCUAAGAGUUAUGAAGACUUUGUGUCUGAGGCGUAUUGUCAUGUCAUUGUUGAUGGUGCAAGAAGAAAGCAUGAAAAAUUAUAAAGGAAAAACAAGCACUAACCCUAAAAUUAAUGAAUUGUAAUCCACUAGAAAAGAUAGAAAAUCUUAAUAGUAUUAUUAGCAAUAUAAAUUAACUUAAGAAUAAAAACUUCAUAAAGCUGUUUUAAGGAAAAAAAAAAUUUCUAAAAUCAUAAGAAAUCCUAGAUUUUGAAAUAUUCAUAAAACUUAUCUAAUAAGAAAAUAAUAAAAUCCUAAUAAGAAAAUGAUGUUAGGUGAAACAAAUCCUAACUUAUUCUAUACAUAUAAAAUAAUAAAGUAAAUUAAAUAUAAUUCUUCCCAAAAAAUUAUUUUUGCUUCAAAGCUAAUCAAGCAACCUAAAAAUCUCAACGCCUUCUUUCUAUACACCAUAUGUAAUACCUCGACCCAAUUUAAUUGUCUUUAUCUAAUUUUUAUUCAAGAAUUUACAAUUUUGCCCUUGGGGGUAGGUCAAUUUAGUCACUUUUUAAUCUGGAAGGUUUUUGGGGAAAUGAGUGGCACCAUUGGGUAGAGCUCUCUCUCACGAGUUCAUAGACACGUAGUGGGCUCAAAUCGGAGUUUUAACGAAGAAGUUGUGAUAUACGGAAGUGCAGUGGCAGAACCGUAAAUUUUGCAAAGUCAUAUAUAUUUUUUUUUAAAUCUGGGCAAUUUUGCAAAGUAAUUUUUUUUUUUUCAAAAAAAAAAAAAUUGGGUAGCUUCUCUCUCUCUCUCUCUCUCACACACACAUUUCUCUCCUAUCAUUCGUGAUGCACUUUCUCUCCUCUCUCUCUCUCUUCUGCUGCGAUGCCGCCACUUUAGUGGGCGAAUUCGUUGUAGUUCGGUGACCAAAUUCCCCAAAACUACUUCCAAAAUUCUCACAUCUCUCUCCUCUACCCAACCCAUACCUUUUCCUAGCUCAAAAACCUGACGUUUAGCGACUGUAACAAUUUGAAUUUUUUGUAGAUUUAUUUCGGCGGCUGUUUCCGUCAACCAAGGUACUUUUACUUCGCAUAUUCCAGAGGAAGAGCCCUCUCAGGAUUGAGUAGCGUGGACUUGUUGUGAGUGGACAUUGUUUUAAAUGAGCAUUAUUUUUCCAAUAUGGAAUUGCAUGCAUAAAUGAGAUUUGAUUUAGAACUUGGCUUAUUUGGUUUACAGGGAUUUUAUAUGUUUUGACUAUGAUUUUAUCAGAAUGUGGCAUAGGUUUUUCAAGAAUUAUUAUUGUUAUUAUGGUCAUUAUUAAAGUAUAUGGAUUGUCUUGCAUAUUUAUAUAAUUUGGAUUAUUUUGAUUAUUGAGUUUAUGAAGUUAUAAUAUUGUUUAUUUUGUGGAUUAUAGUGCUUUAUGGAAUUAUUGGAGUUUAUUUUGACAUUUGGAAUUUGUGAAUAUUUUGGGUUAUGAAAUUUAUGCUUUUGAGAGUUUGAUAUCUAUAUUACGUAUAAAUAUUGGGUAUUGAGUUAUUGACGCUAUUAUUAUCCGGAAGUCUAUGUAUAUGGGCUUGGGUACAUUGGGAUUAUUUGGGAAUUGGUUAUGGUUAGACUUAUGGUACAUGAGUUGGGAUGUAGGAUAUGUUAUAUUGGAGUGUUGAUAGCACCACCCUAUGUACCUCCCUGGCACUUAACUACUUGGAUAUGGAUACUUGGAUAUGUCGGAACCCGGACACCAUUUACGAGGUGUUUCGCAGGCCCUUGGCCAGGUAGUCUACGCCCGUAGGACUUAGUUCAGCUGCACGAGUAUUCAGGAUUUUGCUAUGUGUGUUUGGGAGCCCAGUCCCCCAAUUGGACAGCUCGUCCCUAGCCACAUGGUUAUUGAGGAUUCUUCCAUGUGGUUUAGUCAAACAAUCCCCCGGUUGGAUUGUUUCCCUGAUUCAAGUUUGAUAGUGGUCAUACCUAUAUGUAUACUUAUAUAUAUAUAUAUAUCAGAAGGGUGUAGAACUAGUGAUGACAUACUCAUAAUAAAUGGGAAUGAAAUAAAUAAUAAGAAAAAAACAGUGCAUAAAAUUAAUGAAACUUAAAUGAAAAUAAGAAAAUUGCAAACUUACAGAAAAUCUUGACUGAAAGAUUUUAUUGAUAGAAAGUAGCGCUCACAUUUUACAGAUAAAGUUUUCCUUGAAGGUGAUUCAGAGAAAACUUUGAAACUUUGAAACUAAAAAUUACAUUCUGAGUACAACUGAGGCCAGAGCCUCUAUAUAAAGAGCCAAAAAAGUGUCGGCAACAUUGGAUGCUUGGAAUUUUUACUGUUGGAGCAUGGGUCUUCUGCUUUUGCUUUAACUAGAGCUUUAGGACUUGACUGUCUGGGUAAUCUGCCAUCUGAACUUUUGUGUGGAAUCUUUUUUACUUGAUGGAUUUUGAGUAUGACUGGAGGAUGAGGCUUGAGUGGAGUGAGACUUUGGGGAAGCAUCAUCAUCAUCAUCAUUCAUUUGUGAGGCUUGGAUCAUUAAUUGUCUGGCUAAUUCCUUUAAUUUUGAUUUGGAUCUUCUUUCGAUUGGAAAGGAAGAGUGAGAUGUACCAGACGCGGAAGGCUUCUGGGGAGCUUUGACUGGGGGAAACUCAUUUUUGACUUGUUCAAUAAUUCUUUCCGUCUUGAAUUUAUCCCACCAUUUGAUGGAGAAUUUUCUGGAGAGAAUACGUGAUUCCCAGUGACUUGAUAGGACCAUUGUAGAAUCCAGGGAACUUUGUAUUUGGCAAUGAAAAUUAAAGACUUUGGAAAAAAUUGACUUUCUUGCAUAAAUUUAUACUUACUAGAAAAGUACUUGACUGAUUCUUUGGGAUUUAGGGGAAGAAUAUCAAUAGUUGGACCAUGUCGCUUUUGAAUUUACUAUUGAAAUUUACAAAUCAUGAAUGACUAAAAUCUUUGGUUUGAUGGAGGAAAAUGAUGUGCCAAGCUUCAAUGUAAUCAUGGUAAUUAUAUUGGAGACUGGAAUUAAGUGUCUUGAAAGAGUAGGGGUGAUCGCCCCUUUCAGAUUGACUGAGAAUGUUUUUGAUAUGCAUGGAAUGAUAGAGAAUGAUAUUUGGAUAAUUUCUAUCUUUGAUUGGCCUGAUUUCUAAAGUCUGGGUUUCAAGAAGAAUAUCACGGUAGUAUUUGAAUGACUUAAAAGGAUGUGGAGGUAUGUAAUGGAAAUUGGGAGGGAAAUAGGCUUUGGCUAUUUGACUGGAUUGGUCAAAUGGUUAAAGCAUGGUUCAAUAAAGAAGAGGGUAUGACUGCUUUUGGGGAAAUAAGGAGAAGAUUUGGUAUGACUAAUUGGGGAGGAAGCAGGAGAGAGGGUUAAGACUUGGAAUGGAUCAUAACUAGAGAUGAGAGCUGACUGGUAAUUAGGUCGUAUGUUACUGACUGUGGAUCCUAAAGUGGCAUACCUAUUUGAUACUUGAAUGGGAGAAAAUCUUGGGUAAGGGAUGACUUGGGAAGGUUGCUCUGUUUUUACUGGAGUCAUUGAUGCUGGGAGUUGUCUGACUAGUUGCUUGCCUUGCUGUUUUGUUUGUUUUUCUACCAUUACUUAUCUUGAAGAAAUUCUCUAGUAAGGAAAUAUGGGAUAGAAUUCUCACUUCCUCUCAAAUAUUCAAUAUCAAAAUCAAAAAUACUUAAAAGAGCUUGCCAACGUGCAAAAAUCUGUUUUGAUGCAAUAUUUUGAACGUCUUUUUUCUAAAACAUGUUUUGCACUUUUACAAUUGACUCUGACUAAAAUUUUUUGAUUUAAUAAAUCAUCUUGAAAUUUUGGGAUGCAUAAUACUAUAGAUAGAAUUUCUUUUUUAAUAGUACUGUACUUAUACUGUGACUAUAUCCAAAUUCUAGAAUGGAAUCGAAUGAUUUGCUCUGUUUGGUGGGGAUUGACUCUUUGUUUUAGGAUUCCUCCAUAACCGUUGUCUGAGGCAUCAGUUUCAAAAAUUUUGAAGGAAUUGACUAAAGGAAUACCAAGACAGGGUAGUGUUUUGACAUGGACUUUGAUCUAUUUGACAAUUUCUGUAUGAAUAGAGAUCCAAGGAGGAGGAUUACUUUGGAGUCUGUCAAAUAGGGGUUUACAUUGCUUUCGCAGAUUUUGAUAGAAAUCAUAGACAUAAUUAAGAGAUCUCAUAAACCAUUGGAGUUGACUUUUGUCAAGAAUUUGAUCUAAAAAUUUAUCAGCAAACUGGAUGACUCGAUUAAUUGGACUGAUUUGUGACUGACAAAUAUUAAAACCAAGAAAUCUAAUGUUGGUUUGGAAUAGCUUGAUCUUUUUAGCUGAGACAACUAAACCAUUUUUCUUGACUAUGUGAAGGAAUUUAUACAGAUUUUUCCAAUGUUGCUCUAAUGACUGGGAAAAAAUAAGGACAUUAUCAAUAUAAACUAUGGAGAAAUCACUGAAAUGGUUGAAUAUUUCAUUCAUUAUAUUCUGGAAUUCAUUGGGCGCAUUUUUUAGACCAAAAGGCAUGACAUUCCACUCAUAAUGACUGAAUGAGGUUACAAAAGCGGUUUUAUAUUUAUCUGACUCUUGGAUUUGAAUUUGCCAAAAUCCACUCUUCAUAUAAAACUUAAAGAAAAUGACUACUUUGUCUAAUCUAUUGAUUAAAUCUCUCUUAUUGGGGAUUGGAUAUUUAAUCCAUUCUAAUAUUGUCUUAAGGGGUUUAUAAUUUUUGAUAGAACUUCGCCGGCCUUGUUCUCUCUCCCCGACCACCAAACCAGACGUGUGAGGUAUGGUUUCACACCUAUUUUUCGUGCUCUAGCUGAUGGUUGGGAAGGAUUUGAUCGAUUUCUAGCCUAGGUGGUUCGAUUUGUAACUCAAAGUUUGGCUAGAUUUCAGGUUGAAAUUCUGGCCACUUCCAGCCAUUUUUCGGGGUAGGUCCAAGAACAAAAGUGGCUCCAAUUGAUGUCCUGAACCUAGGGUAGGAAGCUUGGCUUUUAAUUUUGAGAAUUUUCCGGUGAUCAUUAUCGCUUUGGGCACAGUAGAAAAGGGGCAUUGUGUCCCGAUGCGACCUUUAGUUGUCACGAGUACGUAGGUAUGUUCGGAUUCCAAUUUGGAUACCGUUUGAGCUUCAAACGAAUUUCGCAUAUUGUGCGAUUUUUGGGUUCGAUAGGUUUGGAUCGAACUCAAAUUCAUAUAUGUUGUACCUCCGUAUAGGAUUCGACAGAUCGUGAAUCAAAGUCCCGGAUACCUCAAAAUCGCGAAACCUAGGGCAAGAUAAAUUGUAGUUGUCCGAUCGUGUGAUCGUGAUCAAUCCGACAGUUUGAUUUGGACCAAACUUGUAGGGUAGGUUCAGAAGAAUGCGUUGAACCUACAGAGACUCCUGGAAUUGUGAUCGGAGGUCGUGGGCCUCGCUGGCCAAGUUUAGGCGGUUUGCCCUUUCGGUUGACCGUGAGUCUUCCAACGCAGUUAUAUCCUUUGAGAAGUGUUAAAAUGACCAUGUAAACGAGUCCUGACCGAGACUGAGUUAUCUGGGUCAUGUUACGAAUUGAGUAUAGAUAGUUAUAUAUAGAUUGCUAAUGUACCCAGUAGUUGGAAAUGAUGAAUUAUGGCCCUUGGUAUUUAUUAGAAAGAUGAUAUAAAGGUUGGGAAAUGGAUUGUAAAAUAAAAGGAAAGUAUUGAUAUAAGUUUGGGAUAUGGUUUUUCAAACCCACCACAAGGGUACCCCCUAAUUUCUUUGAAACAAUGUCAUUUAUAAAUAAUGCCCCAAGUGUUUUGGGAACUCUUGAAUCGUGCCGAGCAAGCAAUGCAGCUUAGGCUGACCAAAGGUCCCCUGAGGCCUGCGAGAAUUGCGGCUCGGAUAGAAAUGGUAUCUUUGAGGCCUGCGAGGAUUGCGACUCGGAUAGAAAUGGUAUCUCCGAGGCCUGCGAGGAUUAUGGCUAGAGUAAACUUGGUGUCUCCAAGGCCUAUGAGGAUGGAAUUGGCGGUAUUAAUGGAAUUGACGGAUCAGGAAUGAGGGUACGCCUGGAUGGAAAGAAUUUCAAUUUUGAGAUGCUCUUAAACUAAAAUAGAGGGAGUUUAGUGUAUGGCUUAUCUAUAAUCAGUAUAUGAUUGUUACGAGUAUUGGGAAGUUCCAAAGUAUUGUUUUAGAGUUGUGAAUAUGAUUGAGUACUUCACGCACAUGAGAAUUCAGUUUGAUUUACAAAACACAUGGCAAUAUGAUGAAUGAAUAAGAUAUUCAAGUACAUUAUUAAAGGGAAAGAACUAGGUGUGGCUUGAUCCCUCAGUAAGGGUAUGUAGGCAGACUAAUGUUACAAGGUGCAGCCAUGAGUUGGAGUGUUUGGGAUUGCUAGUGUACUAUUGAUGUUCUGAAAGUUGAGAUGAAUUUUAUUAGCAUAAUGAUUUAUUUGAUUUGUUGAGGCCUAAGGCCAGAAUGAUAUGAUGCUUGAUUGCUUGGAUAUAAUUUAAUGCAUGUUGAACGAUUGGGAUAUAUAAAUGUUUGUUGAUAGGUGGAAACUUUUGGGAAACGAGCAAGUUAUAGGGGAGACUCUGCCGAAUUUUCGGUAGAAGUCAAAUUUGAAGAAAAUUUGGUUUUUAGUUAGAAUGGCAUUUGGGUCAUUUGUGCCCGGCAUCCGUCGGGUGUCGGACACGCUCAGGACAGGAACAAGGUGACUUGCUUUUACGGAUUAUUCCUUUGUGAAGUAGCUCUGCAAUUUCCUUUUUGCAAAAUUCCAUGACUUCUUGACUCAUUUGGAUUGGUCUUGCUUUAGUAGGAAAGUUUUUUUCCACAUGUUGUUUUCUAUGCCAAAAGGCAUUAGGUAGGUCGGAAAAAAUUUCUUGUUUUAGUUUAUCUUCAAAAUUUGAAUUUGUGACUGCAAGGACUUAUCAGUAAGCUGCUGUUCAAUUCUUCUGAAUUUAACUUCUUCUUUAAGAAAAUCUAAUUGUUUACUUUUAUUCUGGAUUAUCUUGACUGUUUUUGAAAUUACAUUUUCUAUAAAGCUUUUAAAUUAUGUAAUUCUGGUUUGGUUAAAAAUUCAAAAUUGACUUUUUCUCCCAUGUGGGUAGAUGUGACUCCAUUGUAUUCAACUUGAAAAGGGUAUAAGAGGGCUAUGAAAGGUAGAUAGAGGAUGACUUCAUCUGUGAUAUUUUUUACUAAAACCAAAGAAGUUUUAAAACAUAUCUUAUUUUGACAGACAUAGGCUUUUGGGAUUUCAUAAUCCAACUGAAAUGGUUUACUUGAGGUAGUGCCUAAUGUUUCUUGGCCUUUUGGAAUAUUUGGUGGGGAUUAAACCUUCUCGUAUACAAUUAAGGUCGGCUCCUGAAUAAAGAAGAGCUACUGUGU
rnacentral:lncRNA from 1 species